UUUGACUAUUCGUUUUAUUUAAAAAAGCUAUGAUUAAUAAUUUUAUUGUUACCAGAUGAUAGAACAUAAAUAAUACUUUACGCAGGACUAAUAUUUUGAGUUUUCUAUAAAUAUUUUAAAUAAAAUGGAUGGUCAAA
rnacentral:pre_miRNA from 1 species